rnacentral:rRNA from 1 species
AUUGAACGCUGGCGGCAUGCCUUACACAUGCAAGUCGAACGGUAACAGGUCUUCGGAUGCUGACGAGUGGCGAACGGGUGAGUAAUACAUCGGAACGUGCCCGAGAGUGGGGGAUAACGAGGCGAAAGCUUUGCUAAUACCGCAUACGAUCUCAGGAUGAAAGCAGGGGACCGCAAGGCCUUGCGCUCACGGAGCGGCCGAUGGCAGAUUAGGUAGUUGGUGGGGUAAAAGCUUACCAAGCCGACGAUCUGUAGCUGGUCUGAGAGGACGACCAGCCACACUGGGACUGAGACACGGCCCAGACUCCUACGGGAGGCAGCAGUGGGGAAUUUUGGACAAGGGGCGCAAGACUGAUCCAGCCAUGCCGCGUGCAGGAUGAAGGCCCUCGGGUUGUAAACUGCUUUUGUACGGAACGAAAAGACUCUGGUUAAUACCUGGGGUCCAUGACGGUACCGUAAGAAUAAGCACCGGCUAACUACGUGCCAGCCGCCGCAGUAAAAC